GACGAACGCUGGCGGCGUGCCUAAUACAUGCAAGUAGAACGCUGAAGGAGGAGCUUGCUUCUCCGGAUGAGUUGCGAACGGGUGAGUAACGCGUAGGUAACCUGCCUGGUAGCGGGGGAUAACUAUUGGAAACGAUAGCUAAUACCGCAUAACAGUAGAUGUUGCAUGACAUUUGCUUAAAAGGUGCAAUUGCAUCACUACCAGAUGGACCUGCGUUGUAUUAGCUAGUUGGUGAGGUAACGGCUCACCAAGGCGACGAUACAUAGCCGACCUGAGAGGGUGAUCGGCCACACUGGGACUGAGACACGGCCCAGACUCCUACGGGAGGCAGCAGUAGGGAAUCUUCGGCAACGGACGGAAGUCUGACCGAGCAACGCCGCGUGAGUGAAGAAGGGUUUCGGAUCGUAAAGCUCUGUUGUAAGAGAAGAACGAGUGUGAGAGUGGAAAGUUCACACUGUGACGGUAUCUGACCAGAAAGGGACGGCUAACUACGUG
rnacentral:rRNA from 1 species